GAUGAAGAACGUAGCGAAAUGCGAUAAGUAAUGUAAAUUGCAGAAUUCAGUGAAUCAUCGAAUCUUUGAACGCACAUUGCGCCCGCCAGUAUUCUGGCGGGCAUGCCUGUCUGAGCGUCAUUUCAACCCUCAUGCCCCUAGGGCGUGGUGUUGGGGAUCGGCCAAAGCCCGCGAGGGACGGCCGGCCCCUAAAUCUAGUGGCGGACCCGUCGUGGCCUCCUCUGCGAAGUAGUGAUAUUCCGCAUCGGAGAGCGAUGAGCCCCUGCCGUUAAACCCCCAACUUUCCAAGGUUGACCUCAGAUCAGGUAGGAAUACCCGCUGAACUUAAGCAUAUCAAUAAGCGGAGGA
rnacentral:misc_RNA from 1 species